rnacentral:rRNA from 1 species
GAUGAACGCUGGCGGCGUGCUUAACACAUGCCAGUCGAACGGGAUCCCAGGGGUGCUUGCCCUUUUUGGUGAGAGUGGCGAACGGGUGAGUAACACGUGUGUAACCUUUCCUUUUCUUUGGUAUAAACAUUCGAAAGGGUGUUUAAUACCUUAUGUUCUUUCUUCCUCGCAUGGGGUGGUUGGGUAAGGCUUUGGCCGGAUUUGGGUGGGCUCGCGGUCUAUCGGCUUGUUGGUGGGGUGAUGGCUUACCAAGGCUUUGACGGCUAGCCGGCCUCAGAGGGUGGUCGGUUGCAUUGGGACUGAGAUACGGCCCAGACUCCUGCGGGAGGCAGCAGUGGGGGAUAUUGCACAAUGGGCGAAAGCCUGAUGCAGCGACGCCGCGUGGGGGAUUAAGGCCUGUGGGUUGUAAACUUCUUUUGCUCUGAACACGGGAUGCCAGUGGGUGUGUUGAGUGUAGGGGUUGAUAAGCGCCGGCUAACUACGUG